rfam:Physcomitrella patens subsp. patens PHYPAscaffold_489 genomic scaffold, whole genome shotgun sequence.
GAUGGUGAACUAUGCCUGAGCAAAGCGAAGCCAGAGGAAACUUUGGUGGAGGCUCGUAGCAAUACUGACGUGCAAAUCAUUCGUCAGACUUCGGUGUAGGGGCGACCAAUUAAUCGAACCAUCUAGUAG